CAGCCGCCACGGGAAUACCGAGGGUGCAAGCGUUAAUCGGAAUUACUGGGCGUAAAGCGCGCGUAGGUGGUUUGUUAAGUUGGAUGUGAAAGCCCCGGGCUCAACCUGGGAACUGCAUCCAAAACUGGCAAGCUAGAGUACGGUAGAGGGUGGUGGAAUUUCCUGUGUAGCGGUGAAAUGCGUAGAUAUAGGAAGGAACACCAGUGGCGAAGGCGACCACCUGGACUGAUACUGACACUGAGGUGCGAAAGCGUGGGGAGCAAACAGGAUUAGAUACCCCGGUAGUCCCUGUCUCUUAUCA
rnacentral:rRNA from 1 species